GACGGAGGAUGCAAGUGUUAUCCGGAAUCACUGGGCGUAAAGCGUCUGUAGGUGGUUUAAAAAGUCUACUGUUAAAAAUUGAAGCUUAACUUCAAAGAUGCCGUAGAAACUUUUAAACUCGAGGAUGGUAGGGGUAGAGGGAAUUUCCAGUGGAGCGGUGAAAUGCGUAGACCUUGGAAAGACCACCAAUGGCGAAGGCACUCUACUGGGCCAUUACUGACACUAAGAGACGAAAGCUAGGGGAGCAAAUGGG
rnacentral:rRNA from 1 species